UACAGAGGUCUCGAGCGUUGUUCGGAUUCAUUGGGCGUAAAGGGUGCGUAGGUGGCGCUGUAAGUCAGGUGUGAAAUUUCGGAGCUUAACUCCGAAACUGCAUUUGAUACUGCGGUGCUUGAGGACUGGAGAGGAGACUGGAAUUUACGGUGUAGCAGUGAAAUGCGUAGAGAUCGUAAGGAAGACCAGUGGCGAAGGCGGGUCUCUGGACAGUUCCUGACACUGAGGCGCGAAGGCCAGGGGAGCAAACGGG
rnacentral:rRNA from 1 species